GGUAGCGUAAUCAUUUGUUUAAUAAUUUUAAACUAGAAUGAAAGGAACAAAGUAUACUAACUGUUAAUUAAAAUUUAACAUAAAUCUUUGGCUGAGUGCAAAAACUUAGAAUAAAAAUAUAAACGAGAAGACCCUGGGAAUUUUAAUAUUUUUAUUGGGAUAAUACAAAACCAUACUUAGCUAAGCAACAAAUAACAUUAAUAAAAAGAAAUUACCCCAGGGAUAACAGCACAAUAGUCAUUAAGAGACCUAAUCUCAGUGAUUGAUUAUGACCUCGAUGUUGAAUCAUUUGUACAUAUAGUUUGCAGAAGAAUUUUAUUCUCGUCUGUUCGACGAUAGACAUUACGUGA
rnacentral:rRNA from 1 species